rnacentral:rRNA from 1 species
GCUCAGAACUUAAGGAAUUGACGGGGCCCGCACAAGCAGCGGAGCGUGCGGUUUAAUUCGAUGCUACACGAAGAACCUUACCCGGGUUUGACAUGCAAGUGGUAGUGAUCCGAAAGGUGAACGACCCGCAAGGGAGCUUGCACAGGUGCUGCAUGGCUGUCGUCAGCUCGUGUCGUGAGAUGUUCGGUUAAGUCCGCUAACGAGCGCAACCCUCGCUGUAUGUUACAUGCGUCAUACAGGACCGCCGGUAUCAAGCCGGAGGAAGGUGGGGAUGACGUCAAGUCCGCAUGGCCUUUAUGUCCGGGGCUACACACACGCUACAAUGGUCGGUACAAUGGGUUGCUAAGCCGCGAGGUGGAGCCAAUCCCCCAAAGCCGGCCUCAGUUCAGAUUGCAGGCUGCAACUCGCCUGCAUGAAGCUGGAGUUGCUAGUAAACGCGCGUCAGCUAUAGUGCGUUGAAUACGUUCUCGGGCCUU